GAAUAUAGUUAGGCGUGCUCGCUAUUCAGAUCCAGUAUAAAUAUGGACGAUCCUGGAAUAGGAAAAUUCGUAGUCUUGAAGCCCCCGAGUGCUUUUGGAGCAAACAGACUCUUGGCAGCGGCGUGCACGGCGUUUGAAGGAUAACGAAAUCGAUAUGGUGGUAUUGCAUAAAAGUGGCAACGUGCGCAUCUGCAGUAUCCUCGUUACAGCAGUGCUAUGGCUACCUCGUGCACACGGUGACGCCUAUCCAGACGUCCACUCAUACAGCGUUCCUGUUGUGCCCGCUCUGGAUGUAAACCUCGAGACAACUGCAAGUCAAUCGGCAAAAAAGGUGACGAAUUCCCAGAGUGCUGUCGGACGACUUGCGAACCAUGGCCGCGUAUAUGUCGCCCCCGCGACAUGGAGCCCGCUGACGACCAAUGCGAGGAAAAAGUUUGUGUGAACGGAACCGUCGUCACA